rnacentral:rRNA from 1 species
UUUCAAGUCUUUAAGAGCAAACGGUGGAUGCCUUGGCAUCUGGAGCCGAAGAAGGACGUAGCAAUCUGCGAUAAGCCUCGGGGAACUGAUAAGCAAGUUUUGAUCCGAGGGUGUCCGAAUGGGGAAACCCCGCCAGGCGGCGUGCCGACCUGGUGACUCCCGCCUGAAUAUAUAGGGCGGGUAGAGGGAACGUGGGGAAGUGAAACAUCUCAGUACCCACAGGAAGAGAAAGCAACCGCGAUUCCGUUAGUAGUGGCGAGCGAAACCGGAUCAGGCUAAACCGAGUACGUGUGAUAUCCGGCAGGAGUUGCGUAUUCGGGGUUGUGGGACUCACCAGUCAGUUCUGCCGAGCUGGCGACGUGACAGCAGCGUAUAGACGAACCGCAUUGAAAGGCGGGUCAUAGAGGGUGCGAACCCCGUAGUCGAAAUGCGUGUGUUGGCGUGGAGAGUAUCCCAAGUAGCACGGGGCCCGAGAAAUCCCGUGUGAAUCUGUCAGGACCACCUGAUAAGCCUAAAUACUCCCAGAUGACCGAUAGCGGACAAGUACCGUGAGGGAAAGGUGAAAAGUACCCCGGGAGGGGAGUGAAAUAGUACCUGAAACCGUUUGCUUACAAACCGUUGGAGCCUCCUUAGUAGGGGUGACAGCGUGCCUUUUGAAGAAUGAGCCUGCGAGUUAGCGAUAUGUGGCGAGGUUAACCCGUGAGGGGUAGCCGUAGCGAAAGCGAGUCUGAAUAGGGCGAUUCAGUCGCAUGUCCUAGACCCGAAGCGAAGUGAUCUAUCCAUGGCCAGGCUGAAGCGACGGUAAGACGUCGUGGAGGGCCGAACCCACUUAGGUUGAAAACUGAGGGGAUGAGCUGUGGAUAGGGGUGAAAGGCCAAUCAAACUUCGUGAUAGCUGGUUCUCUCCGAAAUGCAUUUAGGUGCAGCGUUGCGUGUUUCUUGCCGGAGGUAGAGCUACUGGAUGGCCGA